rnacentral:rRNA from 1 species
AACGAACGCUGGCGGCAUGCCUAACACAUGCAAGGCGGACGAGACCUUCGGGUCUAGUGGCGCACGGGUGCGUAACGCGUGGUAACCUGCCCUUAGGUUCGGAAUAACUCCCCAAAAGGGGUGCUAAUACCGGUGAGUGUCUUCGGACCAAAGAUUUAUCGCCUUUGGAUGGGCCCGCGUUGGCUUAGCUCGUUGGAAGGGUAACAGCCUACCAAGGCGACGAUCCAUAGCUGGUCUGCGAGGACGCUUAGCCACGCUGGGACUGAGACACGGCCCAGCCUCCUCCGGGCUGCAGCAGUGGGUCAUCUUCGGCACCCGCCCCAGGGCUGUUCCCGCAGUCCCGCGUGAGCGAUGAACGCCUCAGGGUUGGCCAGCCCCUCUCCCCGGGAUGAUAACGACCGUACCGGGAGAAUACGCUCCGGCUACCCCCGUC